AUGGUCAUUAGUAUAAUGUUCACCUUGACGCAAACAAGAUCAUGGAAGAAUACGGCAAAGCGAAGAAACGAUAACGGACGGUCCCCCGCGUCGCUCCUCCAGGGGCGACACGGGCGGAAGCCCCAAAUCGCCGCUGCCGGCCACCCCUCCUCUCCGCCCUCCCUCCUCGCCACCGUCGGAGGACAUGGCCGGGCGAAGCCCGUCGCAUGGACGGCGGUGGCGGGGCUUACCCAUCUCGCGCCGGCGCGGGUGGCCCCCUGUGUGGGUGUGGCGGCCGUUCUUGUGACAGCCAUGUUGGCUGGUCUUGGCGUGUCGGCUGGUGCCGUCCGGCGUGGAUCCGGGGCUUCUCGGCCCGGAUCUAGCGUCUGCCGCGCUUUCGGCUGCGAGGGUGUUGGUGUUGGCGCUGUUGCGCGUGGAUCCGUGUUCGUGCGCACACGGCGGUCCGGCUCGGCGGGCUUUCAAGCUGCUGCGCGCGAGGAGUUGUCGGUGCUUGUUGCUGUGGGGUGCGGGUGGUGGUGCUGGGCUCGGCCUGGGCAGGGUCUUGCGGCGUGGCUGCGGCGGGCCGGCGGCUGGAGUACCCCGACGACCUCGCCGGCGACCUCCAGCAGGACGGCGCUCGUGCGGCUGUUUGGUGGGCCGCCCCGUUUGGUCCUAGUGGUGGCUGCAUCGGGCGGAUCUGGAGCUGGAGCUCGUGUGGCAGCUUCGGGUGGAUCUGGUGGUGGCAUCUUCGUGCGGCUGGAUCCGGAGCUUCGGGGUGGCAGCCCGUGCUCCGCGCCUAGUGAUUUUGGUCUGGUGGUGUGCGUCGCACCGGCUGCGGCUCUUCGUGGGAGGUGCUGCAACAGCAAGGUUCGAUCCCCCCGCCUUCAGUCUGCACUGCGGGCGCUUCAGAUCUGGCCUCCAGCAGGCGUGCGGUGGCGCGCGUGGGGCGCGUCGGCUCGUCUGAUGUAUGGCUGCAGCCCGGAACCAUGGUGGUUCUUGGCCUCGUGCAGCGCCCCUCUGCUCCUUGCCAGCAUGGUGCUUGGUGGGGCACGGUGGCUCGCGUUGCGUCCGGCCGGCCAUUGGUGCAUCUGGCGUCUAGUGUUGAUUUUGGCCGUCGGUGGUCUCCGCGAGGUGCGGCUGGCUGAGGCGGUUCGUCGUGCUUCUUCAUCGUUGGAGGGUUCGAUGGCGGUGGUGGUCGGCUGCCGUCUUGCUGUAGGGAUGUGCUCAAACUCCGGGGUGAGAACCCUGCAUCGGCUCUGCUGA
rnacentral:rRNA from 1 species